CCCUGUAUGGUAGGGGUUAGAGUUAGAGUUAACACUAGGUACACACCCUGUAUGGUAGGGGUUAGAGUUAACACUAGGUACACACCCUGUAUGGUAGGGGUUAGGGUUAGAGUUAACACUAGGUACACACCCUGUAUGGUAGGGGUUAGAG